rnacentral:rRNA from 1 species
UACGAAGGGGGCUAGCGUUGUUCGGAAUUACUGGGCGUAAAGGGCGCGUAGGCGGCACUGUUAGUCAGGCGUGAAAGUCCUGGGCUCAACCUGGGAACUGCGCUUGAUACGGCAGAGCUAGAGGAUGGAAGAGGCUCGCGGAAUUCCCAGUGUAGAGGUGAAAUUCGUAGAUAUUGGGAAGAACACCGGUGGCGAAGGCGGCGAGCUGGUCCAUUACUGACGGCUGAGGCGCGACAGCGUGGGGAGCAAACAGG